rnacentral:piRNA from 1 species
UUAUAAGAAGGCUCCUUUUGACUUAGAGGUU